GUAGAGAUUCUUCGGGAUCUUGAGAGCGGCGCACGGGUGCGGAACACGUGUGCAACCUGCCUUUAUCUGGGGGAUAGCCUUUCGAAAGGAAGAUUAAUACCCCAUAAUAUAAGAAACGGCAUCGUUUUUUAUUGAAAACUCCGGUGGAUAGAGAUGGGCACGCGCAGGAUUAGAUAGUUGGUGAGGUAACGGCUCACCAAGUCAACGAUCCUUAGGGGGCCUGAGAGGGUGAUCCCCCACACUGGUACUGAGACACGGACCAGACUCCUACGGGAGGCAGCAGUGAGGAAUAUUGGACAAUGGGUGAGAGCCUGAUCCAGCCAUCCCGCGUGAAGGACGACGGCCCUAUGGGUUGUAAACUUCUUUUGUAUAGGGAUAAACCUUUCCUCGUGAGGGAAGCUGAAGGUACUAUACGAAUAAGCACCGGCUAACUCCGUGCCAGCAGCCGCGGUAAUACGGAGGGUGCAAGCGUUAUCCGGAUUUAUUGGGUUUAAAGGGUCCGUAGGCGGAUCUGUAAGUCAGUGGUGAAAUCUCACAGCUUAACUGUGAAACUGCCAUUGAUACUGCAGGUCUUGAGUGUUGUUGAAGUAGCUGGAAUAAGUAGUGUAGCGGUGAAAUGCAUAGAUAUUACUUAGAACACCAAUUGCGAAGGCAGGUUACUAAGCAACAACUGACGCUGAUGGACGAAAGCGUGGGGAGCGAACAGGAUUAGAUACCCUGGUAGUCCACGCCGUAAACGAUGCUAACUCGUUUUUGGGUUUUCGGAUUCAGAGACUAAGCGAAAGUGAUAAGUUAGCCACCUGGGGAGUACGUUCGCAAGAAUGAAACUCAAAGGAAUUGACGGGGGCCCGCACAAGCGGUGGAUUAUGUGGUUUAAUUCGAUGAUACGCGAGGAACCUUA
rnacentral:rRNA from 1 species